UCAAAGGAAUUGACGGGGGCCCGCACAAGCGGUGGAGUAUGUGGUUUAAUUCGAUGCAACGCGAAGAACCUUACCAGGGAUUGACAUCCUACGAAUCUUCUUGAAAGGGAAGAGUGCCUUCGGGAACGUAGAGACAGGUGGUGCAUGGCUGUCGUCAGCUCGUGUCGUGAGAUGUUGGGUUAAGUCCCGCAACGAGCGCAACCCUCGUCCUUAGUUGCCAUCAUUAAGUUGGGCACUUUAAGGAGACUGCCGGUGACAAACCGGAGGAAGGUGGGGAUGACGUCAAGUCAUCAUGCCCCUUACAUCCUGGGCUACACACGUACUACAAUGCAACGGACAAAGGGCAGCCAACUAGCGAUAGUGCGCAAAUCCCAUAAACCGUUGCUCAGUUCAGAUUGCAGGCUGCAACUCGCCUGCAUGAAGGCGGAAUCGCUAGUAAUCGCAGGUCAGCAUACUGCGGUGAAUACGUUCCCGGGCCUUGUACACACCGCCCGUCACACCAUGGAAGUUGGCCACGCCCGAAGUCGUUACCCCAACCGUUUACGGAGGGGGACGCCGAAGGCAGGGCUGAUGACUGGGGUGAAGUCGUAACAAGGUAACC
rnacentral:rRNA from 1 species